UAUUACAAUGAAGAGUUUGAUCCUGGCUCAGGAUGAACGCUAGCUACAGGCUUAACACAUGCAAGUCGAGGGGCAGCAUGGUCUUAGCUUGCUAAGGCCGAUGGCGACCGGCGCACGGGUGAGUAACACGUAUCCAACCUGCCGUCUACUCUUGGACAGCCUUCUGAAAGGAAGAUUAAUACAAGAUGGCAUCAUGAGUCCACAUGUUCACAUGAUUAAAGGUAUUCCGGUAGACGAUGGGGAUGCGUUCCAUUAGAUAGUAGGCGGGGUAACGGCCCACCUAGUCUUCGAUGGAUAGGGGUUCUGAGAGGAAGGUCCCCCACAUUGGAACUGAGACACGGUCCAAACUCCUACGGGAGGCAGCAGUGAGGAAUAUUGGUCAAUGGGCGAGAGCCUGAACCAGCCAAGUAGCGUGAAGGAUGACUGCCCUAUGGGUUGUAAACUUCUUUUAUAAAGGAAUAAAGUCGGGUAUGCAUACCCGUUUGCAUGUACUUUAUGAAUAAGGAUCGGCUAACUCCGUGCCAGCAGCCGCGGUAAUACGGAGGAUCCGAGCGUUAUCCGGAUUUAUUGGGUUUAAAGGGAGCGUAGAUGGAUGUUUAAGUCAGUUGUGAAAGUUUGCGGCUCAACCGUAAAAUUGCAGUUGAUACUGGAUAUCUUGAGUGCAGUUGAGGCAGGCGGAAUUCGUGGUGUAGCGGUGAAAUGCUUAGAUAUCACGAAGAACUCCGAUUGCGAAGGCAGCCUGCUAAGCUGCAACUGACAUUGAGGCUCGAAAGUGUGGGUAUCAAACAGGAUUAGAUACCCUGGUAGUCCACACGGUAAACGAUGAAUACUCGCUGUUUGCGAUAUACAGCAAGCGGCCAAGCGAAAGCGUUAAGUAUUCCACCUGGGGAGUACGCCGGCAACGGUGAAACUCAAAGGAAUUGACGGGGGCCCGCACAAGCGGAGGAACAUGUGGUUUAAUUCGAUGAUACGCGAGGAACCUUACCCGGGCUUAAAUUGCAGAUGAAUUACGGUGAAAGCCGUAAGCCGCAAGGCAUCUGUGAAGGUGCUGCAUGGUUGUCGUCAGCUCGUGCCGUGAGGUGUCGGCUUAAGUGCCAUAACGAGCGCAACCCUUGUUGUCAGUUACUAACAGGUUCUGCUGAGGACUCUGACAAGACUGCCAUCGUAAGAUGUGAGGAAGGUGGGGAUGACGUCAAAUCAGCACGGCCCUUACGUCCGGGGCUACACACGUGUUACAAUGGGGGGUACAGAGGGCCGCUACCACGCGAGUGGAUGCCAAUCCCAAAAACCUCUCUCAGUUCGGACUGGAGUCUGCAACCCGACUCCACGAAGCUGGAUUCGCUAGUAAUCGCGCAUCAGCCACGGCGCGGUGAAUACGUUCCCGGGCCUUGUACACACCGCCCGUCAAGCCAUGGGAGCCGGGGGUACCUGAAGUGCGUAACCGCGAGGAGCGCCCUAGGGUAAAACUGGUGACUGGGGCUAAGUCGUAACAAGGUAGCCGUACCGGAAGGUGCGGCUGGAACACCUCCUUUCU
rnacentral:rRNA from 1 species